CCCAGAGUACCAAGCUCAAGCAUCUUUCCAAAGUGUGGCAGAAAGCCGAUGCAUAGAUGGGUAUCGGUUGCCCUUUGGAUUGUCAUGAGAGCCUUGUAGCUCUCAAAGUGAUCAAUUGGGUCAGUGGUACCAUCAUAUGGUUCCACGUGCAGCAUUUUGAACCAAGUCGGGAUCGGUUCAUCCAAGACAUAUCGAGAGAGAGGUUGGGCAGU
rnacentral:lncRNA from 1 species